rnacentral:rRNA from 1 species
GAUGAACGCUGGCGGCGUGCCUAAUACAUGCAAGUCGAGCGAACGGACGAGAAGCUUGCUUUUCUGAUGUUAGCGGCGGACGGGUGAGUAACACGUGGAUAACCUACCUAUAAGACUGGGAUAACUUCGGGAAACCGGAGCUAAUACCGGAUAAUAUUUUGAACCGCAUGGUUCAAAAGUGAAAGACGGUCUUGCUGUCACUUAUAGAUGGAUCCGCGCUGCAUUAGCUAGUUGGUAAGGUAACGGCUUACCAAGGCAACGAUGCAUAGCCGACCUGAGAGGGUGAUCGGCCACACUGGAACUGGGACACGGUCCAGACUCCUACGGGAGGCAGCAGUAGGGAAUCUUCCGCAAUGGGCGAAAGCCUGACGGAGCAACGCCGCGUGAGUGAUGAAGGUCUUCGGAUCGUAAAACUCUGUUAUUAGGGAAGAACAUAUGUGUAAGUAACUGUGCACAUCUUGACGGUACCUAAUCAGAAAGCCACGGCUAACUACGUGCCAGCAGCCGCGGUAAUACGUAGGUGGCAAGCGUUAUCCGGAAUUAUUGGGCGUAAAGCGCGCGUAGGCGGUUUUUUAAGUCUGAUGUGAAAGCCCACGGCUCAACCGUGGAGGGUCAUUGGAAACUGGAAAACUUGAGUGCAGAAGAGGAAAGUGGAAUUCCAUGUGUAGCGGUGAAAUGCGCAGAGAUGUGGAGGAACACCAGUGGCGAAGGCGACUUUCUGGUCUGUAACUGACGCUGAUGUGCGAAAGCGUGGGGAUCAAACAGGAUUAGAUACCCUGGUAGUCCACGCCGUAAACGAUGAGUGCUAAGUGUUAGGGGGUUUCCGCCCCUUAGUGCUGCAGCUAACGCAUUAAGCACUCCGCCUGGGGAGUACGACCGCAAGGUUGAAACUCAAAGGAAUUGACGGGGGCCCGCACAAGCGGUGGAGCAUGUGGUUUAAUUCGAAGCAACGCGAAGAACCUUACCAAAUCUUGACAUCCUUUGACAACUCUAGAGAUAGAGCCUUCCCCUUCGGGGGACAAAGUGACAGGUGGUGCAUGGUUGUCGUCAGCUCGUGUCGUGAGAUGUUGGGUUAAGUCCCGCAACGAGCGCAACCCUUAAGCUUAGUUGCCAUCAUUAAGUUGGGCACUCUAAGUUGACUGCCGGUGACAAACCGGAGGAAGGUGGGGAUGACGUCAAAUCAUCAUGCCCCUUAUGAUUUGGGCUACACACGUGCUACAAUGGACAAUACAAAGGGCAGCGAAACCGCGAGGUCAAGCAAAUCCCAUAAAGUUGUUCUCAGUUCGGAUUGUAGUCUGCAACUCGACUACAUGAAGCUGGAAUCGCUAGUAAUCGUAGAUCAGCAUGCUACGGUGAAUACGUUCCCGGGUCU